rnacentral:lncRNA from 1 species
AGGGAGACAUGAGACAUCAAUCAACACAUGUAAGAUGAACAUUGGUUCAGUCUGGAAAAGGCCGGGCAACGCCAAGCAAAUGUGGGACAACUCGCAGCCAGGAGAAAGCUUCCAGGUCACAGUAUUUUUGACUUACCACGUGUUUAUUGGGACGUAACCCCUUCCUAAGAUGAAGAGCAUCUGUAUACAUCCAGAAUCCUGUGGAGCAACUCAUAACCCAUGAGGAAUGGAAGCCGACAGACAGACUCAUCCCCAGGACAGGUGGUUCUCACUACAUCUCAUAAAGCUUCUUAGAAGAUCUUACAGGAUUGAGCAACCAGCCAGCCACAGCAGGGGCCAACUGGAUAACACGUCUUUGCAUAGGCUCUCCCUCUGUCCCUGUCACCCUCCCCUUUUCCUAACCUUGUUCCUUGGGAUUAUGUUUUGAAAUAAAUUAUUCAGAGAAAUGAAGCCAAAGCUGACCCAUUAGCCAAUAGCUAGGUUCUGUGAUGACAGAGCUUCUGGGCUAUAAUCGUUUACUGAGAAGCCAGCGUUCCUGAGGGGAUAAUGGCUCGUUCCAUUCAGCUGCAGCAUAGGAGUGAGGGCAGGGCAUUAGCAGAAGAUAACACCAGAAACGUGCUCUGGGGCCUGUUGAUGACUUUCUGUGCCAAGCACAGACAUUUAGCCUUUAUUCUGUAUGUGAUGGGAAGCCAGUGCCAGUGGUGGGUUUGAGCAGGGAACCAGCAACCAGUGGUGGGUUUGAGCAGGGAACCAGCAAUACUCAAGCUCUGCUUGGAUGGAGGCCAGUCAGGGAGGAGUUAGGGCAGGAGGACCAGUCAGGGAGGAGACUUAGGGCAGGAGGACCAGUCAGGGAGGAGACUUAGGGCAGGAGGACCGGUCAGGGAGGAGACUUAGGGCAGGAGUACUGGUCAGGGAGGAGACUUAGGGCAGGAGGACCGGUCAGGGAGGAGACUUAGGGCAGGAGGACCGGUCAGGGAGGAGACUUAGGGCAGGAGGACCGGUCAGGGAGGAGUUAGGGCUGGAGGACGGGUCAGGGAGGAGACUUAGGGCAGGAGGACCGGUCAGGGAGGAGUUAGGGCUGGAGGACCGGUCAGGGAGGAGUUAGGGCAGGAGGACUGGUCAGGGAGGAGUUAGGGCUGGAGGACGGGUCAGGGAGGAGUUAGGGCUGGAGGACCGGUCAGGGAGGAGUUAGGGCAGGAGGACAGGUCAGGGAGGAGUUAGGGGAGGAGGACCGGUCAGGGAGGAGUUAG